GGGCCCGCACAAGCGGAGGAGCAUGUGGUUUAAUUCGAUGAUACGCGAGGAACCUUACCAAGGCUUAAAUGUAAUAUGACCGGUUGAGAGAUCAACCUUUUUCGAACAGAUUACAAGGUGCUGCAUGGUUGUCGUCAGCUCGUGCCGUGAGGUGUCGGGUUAAGUCCCAUAACGAGCGCAACCCUAUCGUUAGUUGCCAUCAAGUAAAGUGGGAACUCUAGCGAAACUGCCGGUGCAAACCGAGAGGAAGGUGGGGAUGACGUCAAAUCAUCACGGCCCUUACGUUCUGGGCUACACACGUGCUACAAUGGUCGGUACAGAAAGCAGCCACUAUGCGAAUAGGAGCUAAUCUUUAAAACCGAUCUC
rnacentral:rRNA from 1 species